rnacentral:rRNA from 1 species
CCCUGCUAUUCUACUUUAAUUAUAAUAUUUCAAAACUCAACAUAAUAAAUUUGACGGUAUUAACUUUUACAAAGGAAUUUGUUUCUUAAUCGAAAAUACACGAAAACCUUACUUAAUUUAUAUUUGUAUACCACCGUAUUAGUAAUUUUUUAAAAUUAAUUACUAAAAAAAUUAUUUUAUAACAUCAGGUCAAGGUGCAAUUUAAUUAAGAUGAAAUGAAUUACAAUACAUUACAACACAUAAAAAUUGAAAAAUUUUUAAAAAAAGAAUUUGUCAGUAAAUUUUUAUAAUAAUGAAAAAUUGAAAAUUAAUAUUAAUAUGUACAUAUCGCCCG